UACGUCCCUUUUGCGAGCGUUAAUCGGAAUUACUGGGCGUAAAGCGUGCGCAGGUGGUUUGUUAAGUCAGAUGUGAAAGCCCCGAGCUUAACUUGGGAACUGCGUUUGAAACUGGUAAGCUAGAGUCUGUCAGAGGGGGGUAGAAUUCCACGUGUAGCAGUGAAAUGCGUAGAGAUGUGGAGGAAUACCAAUGGCGAAGGCAGCCCCCUGGGAUAAGACUGACGCUCAUGCACGAAAGCGUGGGGAGCAAACAGGAUUAGAUACCCUGGUAGUCCACGCCCUAAACGAUGUCAACUGGUUGUUGGGCAACUUGAUUGUUCAGUAACGAAGCUAACGCGAGAAGUUGACCGCCUGGGGAGUACGGUCGCAAGAUUAAAACUCAAAGGAAUUGACGGGGACCCGCACAAGCGGUGGAUGAUGUGGAUUAAUUCGAUGCAACGCGAAAAACCUUACCUACCCUUGACAUGUACGGAAGUCUGCUGAGAGGUGGAUGUGCCUGAAAGGGAACCGUAACACAGGUGCUGCAUGGCUGUCGUCAGCUCGUGUCGUGAGAUGUUGGGUUAAGUCCCGCAACGAGCGCAACCCUUGCUAUUAAUUGCCAUCAUUAAGUUGGGCACUUUAAUAGGACUGCUGGUGAUAAACCGGAGGAAGGUGGGGAUGACGUCAAGUCCUCAUGGCCCUUAUGGGUAGGGCUUCACACGUCAUACAAUGGCCGGUACAGAGGGAUGCCAACCCGCGAGGGGGAGCCAAUCUCAGAAAGCCGGUCGUAGUCCAGGAUUGUUCUCUGCAACUCGAGAGCAUGAAGUCGGAAUCGCUAGUAAUCGCGGAUCAGCAUGUCGCGGUGAAUACGUUCCCG
rnacentral:rRNA from 1 species